CUACGGGCGGCUGCAGUGAGGAAUUUUGCGCAAUGGGGGAAACCCUGACGCAGCAACGCCGCGUGAGCGAAGAAGGCCUUCGGGUCGUAAAGCUCCGUCAAGUGGGAAAAAAAUUCUUUGAUGAACAGUCAAAGGACUUGAUGGUACCACUGGAGGAAGCACCGGCUAACUCCGUGCCAGCAGCCGCGGUAAUACGGAGGGUGCAAGCGUUGUUCGGAAUUACUGGGCGUAAAGAGCGUGUAGGCGGUUUGACAAGUCAGAUGUGAAAGCCCCGGGCUCAACCCGGGAAGUGCAUUUGAAACUGUUUCACUAGAGUAUGGGAGAGGAGAUUGGAAUUCCUGGUGUAGAGGUGACAUUCGUAGAUAUCAGGAGGAACACCCGUGGCGAAGGCGAUUCUCUGGACCAAUACUGACGCUGAGACGCGAAAGCGUGGGGAGCAAACAGGAUUAGAUACCCUAGUAGUC
rnacentral:rRNA from 1 species